UCGUCACGGACUAUGAUUACAGUGAGGGACAGAGCAGGAGACAAACAAAGGCGAAAAACCGACGAAAAUACGGAAUAAAACCAACGUUUCAGUCGUUUCUUCGUCGCUUUGGUUUGUUAACACACGGAGACACAUUAUCACCAGACAAGUGUGGGGUCUUGGAGCUGUUUCUGCCGUCAGGCUGGACGUUCACUGGUUUAGCUGCUGCAGCCUGGGCACCAACACCUGCUCUCACCUGACAAACAGGUGUCACCACUUCGUCCACAACAUUGUCCAUGAUCUCAGAGAGUCUUCGUACAAUGAAGAAGUUGUUUGAGACCAGGACAGUCUCCUCCAGGUCUUCAGCUGCUGUCGUCUUCUCCUCCCGCAGAGACAAGGACACGUGUGAAUCACAGAGACUGAUCAAUAAAUCUAUUUUUCCUUUCCUAAGCUAUCUGCAUUCAUUUUUGAUAUCUAUACUAUAUUUUUUGAUCAAUUUUGGUGCCUUACUAUACUACGACUUUUUUUUGAUGCUUUUUAAUGCCUUACUAUACUAUGGCAUUUUUUUGGUGCCUAUACUAUGACUUUUUUCGAUGGUUUUUGACGCUUUUAACAUUUUUUGAUGUUUUUUCAUGCCUUACUGUACCAUGACAUUUUUUGAAGGUUUUUUAAGCCUUUCCGUACUAUAACAUUUUUUGAUGUUUUUUCUUUGAAGGUUUUUUUAAGCCUUUCUGUACCAUGACAUUUUUUGAUUAACACUACUACUACACACACCUUACUAUACUGUGAUGCCAUCUUACCUUUGUUGUCCAGAGACACACACUCACACUUCCACGCAGUGUUUCUGAGUUUAGUUAGAUUUUGUGUUUCAUUUUAGUAUUUUCCUUUCAAACAGAGCAAUAUUAGUACUCAAAUCCCAUCUAUUACUGCAUACACAGUCCUGUUUAUAUUGUUCAUAUUGUUUAUAAUUUUUACAUUGUUAAAUAUUAUCUUAUUUCAUAUUUUCUUAAUAUUAUACCUUUUUUUUUUGCUGCUGCAACACUGAAUUUUCAGAGGAUUAUC